rnacentral:sRNA from 1 species
GGGAGGUAGGGACGUGGGAGAUGAGUGUGUCUGAAACCCCUGGUGGUGGGACUGGGAGGCUGGGAGAAACUGUCAUCCUUGGGUGCCGACUACAUCUGAGAUCUGUGGGGCUGACUGUGUCUGAGAAUCCUGGAGCUCCCAAGCUAGAAUCUGGGUGAGUAUGAGACCUCUUAUGGAUGGGAGCUGAGUGAGUUUGAACCGUGUAGCAGCUAGGGCCAGGAGCCUAGCUGUGCCUGAGAUCUUGGACACUGGGAUAGAGGGGCUGACUGUGUCUGAGGCCCCUGAGGGUAGUGACCUGGCAUCUGGGUGAACCUGAGAUUGCUGCUGGCUGGAUAGUCUGAGACCCACAGGUGCUGGGAACAUGCUGUUGGGUGGUCCAACAGAGAGUCUGUACGGUUGUAUGCACCCCAGGAGAGGCUGAGGUGUAAAAUGGGCUCCCCUGGUCUCCACAGAGCUUGGCAGAGCUGAGAGAUCAGUGGCAGGGGGAGCGCCUGGAACAUGCAGCCGCUUUGCGGGCCCUACAAGAUCAGGUAUCCAUCCAGAGUGCAGAUGCACAGGAGCAAGUGGAAGGGCUUUUGGCUGAGAAUAAUGCCUUGAGGACUAGCCUGGCUGCCCUGGAGCAGAUCCAAACAGCAAAGACCCAAGAACUGAAUAUGCUCCGGGAACAGACCACUGGGCUGGCAGCUGAGUUGCAGCAGCGGCAGGCUGAGUACGAGGACCUUAUGGGACAGAAAGAUGACCUCAACUCCCAGCUCCAGGAGUCAUUACGGGCCAAUAGUCGGCUGCUGGAACAACUUCAAGAAAUAGGGCAGGAGAAGGAGCAGUUGACCCAGGAAUUACAGGAGGCUCGGAAGAGUGCUGAGAAGCGGAAGGCCAUGCUGGAUGAGCUAGCAAUGGAAACGC